GCGCCCUUGGUGUAGCGGUAACACACAAUCUACAUCUCUCCAUUGAGCAGUGUGAUCAGGAAGAUUGGGUCCGGGGUUCGACUCCCCGAGGGUGCA